GCCCGGGUAGCCCAACGGUAGAGGCGCGGCGCUCAGACCGCCGUCAGUGCGCGUUCGAGUCGCGCUCCGGGUAC
rnacentral:tRNA from 1 species